rnacentral:rRNA from 1 species
UACGUAGGGUGCGAGCGUUAAUCAGAAUUACUGGGCGUAAAGCGUGCGCAGGCGGUUAUUUAAGUCAGGUGCGAAAGCCCUGGGCUUAACCUAGGAAUUGCGCUUGAGACUGGAUAGCUUGGAGUGCGGCAGAGGGAGGUGGAAUUCCACGUGUAGCAGUGAAAUGCGUAGAGAUGUGGAGGAACACCGAUGGCGAAGGCAGCCUCCUGGGCCAGCACUGACGCUCAUGCACGAAAGCGUGGGGAGCAAACAGG